UGCCUCAUUUUCAAGGUCCCUUGGCGGCUGUAUACUUUUGCUUUGCCGUUUCAUAGGAUACCCACUGAGGCUAGA
rfam:Phytomonas sp. isolate Hart1 genomic scaffold, scaffold_8